GUCUACGUGCUGAAAUCGGUAGCCAGAACAAACUUAAGAUUUGUCGUUGAAAAACGUAAGAGUUCGAAUCUCUUCGUAGAUA
rnacentral:tRNA from 1 species